GACAAGAGCGACAUCUAGUACGUUUUGCGAAUACACAACGUCCAUUUAUCGUAGACUGCUUUAAUACAAUGUGAUCGUGUGCUUGACCCUCGUGCUAUGUGCUAGUCUUGAUGCGGAUCACGGGAGUUUGUCGCACGAACGUUUUCCUCGCGUCGCAACAUUGCAAGGAAUUAACUCUUUACCUUGCGCGAUCAUCCCAGAGGAUGUUUCCUUAAAAUAUCAAAUUUUUGUAUUCGCUCGAACUUUUACAUCUCAAUGUUACUCUUAUUGCAACAAACAGAAAGGCCUUUUACGUGUCAAGGAAACGUUUAGCGUAAAAUUGGAACGAAGAAUCAUGCGAAUGACAAUUGUUUCGCAUCUCGCUUGAAUCUGAGAUACUUUUUAACGUUAGAAGAAGGCGAUUAGAUCGAAAUGGAACAACUGAAAAAACGUGGCAGGGUUAUAUAACUUUAUCGAUAUUCUAUUGGAGCGUGAGACAGUUCUGGUCGGGAGAUAUUUGCGAUUAUUGCGGCGGUGAACAUGUCGAAAGAAGGAAAAGCGAGCAACGCAGCGAGUCCAUGGGAAACGUUCAUGAGCAGCGUAGUAUCGGUUAAAUAACCAUCGUAAAAUAUUCGCGUGGUUCUGCGGGAAAAGCCGUCUGUUCGCUGCAAACCUGAACCGGAUCGGCAACCAAUAGUUAAGGAUAAAUUGACCGUUAAAUCGUGUGAAAUUGUUGUAACGUCUAGUUGGCCCAGUCAAAGUCAGAAUAAAUGAAAUUAACAGAGAAGCGCUCAUAAUAGAAAGGACGCUAUUGAGUAAACUUGGUAAGCUUGCACGAGGGUCGCUAUAGUCCUAGUAGCGUACGACCAUAGUUGUCCCUACAACUCUAUAUGUGUGCCAUUUUAAGCUUACCGUUUCAAACGUUUGGCCAACGGGUGAUUAUAUUACACGAGCGCGUAAACCCCUGGUGCGGCGAGGUCGAAGCGCAUGAUGCACUCGAAACAGUCGGUUCAACGCGCGCUGGCUACGUUCGUUUGAUUUACAGCCUAGGUCAUUGUUAUCGAAUCAUUCCAGUCACCGACGAUGCGAUCGUUCGUUUUAUGCGGUGAUAUUUUUAUCGCGUUCCAUGCAGAUUGUAUUUCCGGUGUCGAGGAGGUGUAAACACGCAAACCGUUAUGCUGCAGCUGACGCGUUUGUAACGAAUGUGUAUCGAAAGAUUUCACUUAAUGGAAGAACGUACACACUCGGUUUUCGCUCUUCCUGUACCCACGUAAGCGAUGAGAAAAUCGACGAAGUACAUCGCCAUACGUUUGUUCCAAUGCCUAACGUUCGUAGAAACAAUAGAUACUACGCUGUUGAGAUGCUCCAAAGGAUGAUAUUUUUUUUUUUUUUUUGUAGGAUGGACUACGUAUGCGGUGGAGUGUCCUGAAUCUUGCAUUUGGAAAAGCGAAUCUACAUUUUUCUGAAGUUGUUAUUACAGCUGGAUAAAGGAAUUUGAUCUAUCUGAUGGACCGGUGUAAGACAGGAUUAAGCGAUUUAUCGCGUAAAGUCCUUCCUCUUCGUAAUCGACGAUAAAGAAAAGGAGGAUCUUUCCAAUGAGGCAAACGUCUCGUUAAUUCUUUUAACGAGGCAUAUACCAAAAAUGUAUAGGAGAAGAAAUUCUCUAGAAAUUGUUAGUACAACCGGUUACGUAGAAUUAGUCCGUCUAAGGAUUGGAGGGAGCACGACAUUGUUAACUACUACUUAUCUUCCGGUCGUUCGCCGAAAUUCGUUUCAUUUCAGUUUCACGAUCAUAGCCACCGCAUUAUACCUUUAACCUGCGCUUAUAGCUCGCAGUCCCUCCGCAAUGGGCAUUAUACGAGCGUAUAUCAUCCAUAAUUUGUUAUCCUCUAUUAUUCUAUGCUCCCGUUUACGUUGUAUUUAUUUGCAUAGCGUCGUUCGCAUAGGUAUUAUACGGUUCUACGGUAAAGCUUUCCUCCGGCUCUCCUCGACUUUAGCUUUCCCUUGACUCUACUCUAACAGUAAAAAGGCAAAUGGCACAUUCGACGUCGGAGAAGUCCGAUCGAAAAGCGACGGUUUACGUGCUGAGCUCGGUGAGGUCGUCUACCGCGAUACCGUUAUGUGUUAAUAAAAGUGCUCGAAACGAUAAUCGUGCCCAAGCUGCAGCCACCAGCACGUUUUGUACUCGGCGAUAAAUUCGCACGGCAACUUGAAUCCCUAUUUGCCCCGCGAAAAUGUCGCGAAGAGUCGGCAAAUAAUACAUAAAACGAAAGCAGUCUGACGCUAACGAUACUGUUUCUACUUACCUUUCGCUCAUUAAGUUUGGUUGGCUGUUUUUCUGACCCUUACUACUGCCGUUUCGACGAGUUCGAUGGGAUACAACAUAGAACAAGACGCACCUAUGGCUUUCUGGGAUUUCGUGCCCUAUGAAUUUGUUCUAGUUUUAUUUAUUCGUAUUCUAGUUUUAUUUGCACUAUUAUAUUCGUUUGAAACGGACACAAGAAAAGAAGGAAAAAAGGCAAACGUACCGAGAGCGUGUUUACGGAUACAUAUUCGCAAGUCUCUUUGAAAAAACUCAAUGAAUUUUGCCCCAUGCACCGAUCAGGCUCUUUCGAUUAUCGCCUGUUGUAUUUAAUUGUCAAGGCGACAUGGCACACAUACGCGCAUAGGCGAUCUAUAGUAUAGUACAAAAAUUAAUCUUGAUGAUGCAUUAAAGAAUGCGUAGAAUUCUUUAUUUUCUCUACAAUAAUAAUUUCCAAUUUCAUGUUUAUAUCUAAACCUCUAAAUCGUGGAACACGGAAAAAUAUUUCGUGUUACGUCUAUCCUGUGCUUCGUCGAUGAGUGCGAUAUCUUGUCUUUGUUUCCAGCUAUACCGACUAUCGCAUUUGGAUUGAACAUAUAGUAGAGUUCUAUGUCGGUAUGCAAUGUCGGUUCUGCAAUGGUCGGUAUUGCAGAACAUAUGACACGAUGUUCCGUCAAAUGGUAAAAUCACUUUUUAUCACUUUUGACGAUCGAGUGGUUCUACAAGUAGUCCUGUAUACAUAGAAAAAUUUACUCGUUUUCUGCACAGAAGGAAAUGUAGCGAUAAGCCAUCUUCGGACUUUCGUAAGAAACUGAUAUCAUCGAUAAGAUAGAUUACCGAUAAGAUAUUUAAUGCUUUCCGUUCCGCGUCCCACGAUUUAAGGGUCACUUGAUCUCUCGUGCCAUUUUCGUAUCGCAUGCAACGUUAUCGUUUCGAUAUAGCAAUGGUUUGAAUUCAAGCUAAAUUUUUCUAUAAAAUUACAAAUAAGGUAUAGAACAGAAUAUUUUGCACGUGUUGUACUCUAAUCGUAUUAUGAUACAACUGAUUGAAAUUGCGAUUUUAUGCAGAACCUACCAUAUUUUUAGUAUUAACCAAUCUUAAUACGUUUCGACUGCUGAUAUUCGCCGUCAUGCUUGAAACUAUUAAUUUAAUAAAAUGAUUUUCUUCCGUUCAUAU